CUGAUCGGAAAAGAACACGCACUGAAUUUAAGCAUAUCAAUAAGUGCAGGAGAAGAA
rnacentral:rRNA from 1 species